UCCAGGCAGCUCAGCCAUAAGUCAGCCCAAAGCCCGCCAGCUGGGAGCUGCACUGAGCCCCUGGUCACAAAAGUGAACGUCACAGGACGGGCCAACUCUGCCCAGGCCUCGCUGUGUGCACAUACACAGGU